AAUAAAUAUCUAAUUUUUGUUGACCUGGCGAUAUUAGACACACUGUUAAGUAAAUUACUAGAUCCCGUUAACGGAGUUAAUUUUUUUGUUAACAGAGGCCCAUUAAUGCAAAACGUUAUUGUUUCCAACAACAGAGUGACGUCGUUUUGUAAUAAUGACUGAACUAAAUUCCCAAAUUCAAUCUAAGAUCUCUAAAUCAAGCAAAAUUCCUAUCUCUAAAUCCCCAUAUGAUUUGAAACUGGAGAUUUAAUUGAGCCGUUAUGACAAAAACGAUGACGUUUUAUUGUUAGAGUAAACGUUGUCGUUUUCAAUCAACGAGUAUGUUAACACACUAAACGUUCAAGGUCUAUUAACCUACUGAACAUCAUGCCUAAUAUAGUCAUGUCAACAAAAGUUUGAUAUUUAUUUGAAAAGUCAAGAAGGUUUGGUAUUUAUUUGGAAAGUAACAUAAGUUUGAUAUUUGUUUCGUUCGCCGAGAGUUCAAGAUUUAAAUCAAAGUUUUCAAUAAGUUGAGAAUUUUAAUGACAUUUUUUUCCAAAAGAUAACAUGUUUGAUAAAUAUUAUUUUUGCAUUGUAUUUUUCUUAACUACCAACUAAAUUAUAAGAACAGUGAGAGAAAGAAAAAAACAAAAACCAAAAUCUAAGGAGAAAAAGUAAAGAGACAAGAAAAAAAGAGAAAAGAAGGUUACUUACUUACCUACCUAAUCUCCAUUACCCCACACACAACACAGCAAAGCACAGCCUCACUUUAUCUCCACAUAGUCACAUGUACAUAUACCAAACUUAGUCAAAGUCUCCUCCUUUUUAUAUAACCCACAAAUUGAUCUCUUCUCUCUUCUCUUACACCAUCUUCUUCAUUCACCAUGGGAAGAUCUCCUUGUUGUGAAAAAGCUCACACAAACAAAGGAGCUUGGACUAAAGAAGAAGAUCAACGUCUCGUAGAUUAUAUCC
rnacentral:sRNA from 1 species